CUGGCGGCGUGCCUAAUACAUGCAAGUAGAACGCUGAAGAGAGGAGCUUGCUCUUCUUGGAUGAGUUGCGAACGGGUGAGUAACGCGUAGGUAACCUGCCUUGUAGCGGGGGAUAACUAUUGGAAACGAUAGCUAAUACCGCAUAACAAUGGAUGACACAUGUCAUUUAUUUGAAAGGGGCAAAUGCUCCACUACAAGAUGGACCUGCGUUGUAUUAGCUAGUAGGUGAGGUAACGGCUCACCUAGGCGACGAUACAUAGCCGACCUGAGAGGGUGAUCGGCCACACUGGGACUGAGACACGGCCCAGACUCCUACGGGAGGCAGCAGUAGGGAAUCUUCGGCAAUGGGGGCAACCCUGACCGAGCAACGCCGCGUGAGUGAAGAAGGUUUUCGGAUCGUAAAGCUCUGUUGUAAGUCAAGAACGAGUGUGAGAGUGGAAAGUUCACACUGUGACGGUAGCUUACCAGAAAGGGACGGCUAACUACGUGCCAGCAGCCGCGGUAAUACGUAGGUCCCGAGCGUUGUCCGGAUUUAUUGGGCGUAAAGCGAGCGCAGGCGGUUUGAUAAGUCUGAAGUUAAAGGCUGUGGCUCAACCAUAGUUCGCUUUGGAAACUGUCAAACUUGAGUGCAGAAGGGGAGAGUGGAAUUCCAUGUGUAGCGGUGAAAUGCGUAGAUAUAUGGAGGAACACCGGUGGCGAAAGCGGCUCUCUGGUCUGUAACUGACGCUGAGGCUCGAAAGCGUGGGGAGCGAACAGGAUUAGAUACCCUGGUAGUCCACGCCGUAAACGAUGAGUGCUAGGUGUUGGAUCCUUUCCGGGAUUCAGUGCCGCAGCUAACGCAUUAAGCACUCCGCCUGGGGAGUACGACCGCAAGGUUGAAACUCAAAGGAAUUGACGGGGGCCCGCACAAGCGGUGGAGCAUGUGGUUUAAUUCGAAGCAACGCGAAGAACCUUACCAGGUCUUGACAUCCCGAUGCUAUUUCUAGAGAUAGAAAGUUACUUCGGUACAUCGGUGACAGGUGGUGCAUGGUUGUCGUCAGCUCGUGUCGUGAGAUGUUGGGUUAAGUCCCGCAACGAGCGCAACCCCUAUUGUUAGUUGCCAUCAUUCAGUUGGGCACUCUAGCGAGACUGCCGGUAAUAAACCGGAGGAAGGUGGGGAUGACGUCAAAUCAUCAUGCCCCUUAUGACCUGGGCUACACACGUGCUACAAUGGUUGGUACAACGAGUUGCGAGUCGGUGACGGCAAGCUAAUCUCUUAAAGCCAAUCUCAGUUCGGAUUGUAGGCUGCAACUCGCCUACAUGAAGUCGGAAUCGCUAGUAAUCGCGGAUCAGCACGCCGCGGUGAAUACGUUCCCGGGCCUUGUACACACCGCCCGUCACACCACGAGAGUUUGUAACACCCGAAGUCGGUGAGGUAACCUUUUGGAGCCAGCCGCCUAAGGUGGGAUAGAAA
rnacentral:rRNA from 1 species